AGGACGAACGCUGGCGGCGUGCUUAACACAUGCAAGUCGAGCGGAAAGGCCCUUCGGGGUACUCGAGCGGCGAACGGGUGAGUAACACGUGAGCAACCUGCCCCUGGCUCUGGGAUAGCCUCCGGAAACGGGGAUUAAUACCGGAUAUUCACUGUCUCCUGCAUGGGGGGUGGUGGAAAGUUUUUCGGCUAGGGUGGGGCUCGCGGCCUAUCAGCUUGUUGGGGGGGUGACGGCCCACCAAGGCGACGACGGGUAGCCGGCCUGAGAGGGCGACCGGCCACACUGGGACUGAGACACGGCCCAGACUCCUACGGGAGGCAGCAGUGGGGAAUAUUGCGCAAUGGGCGGAAGCCUGACGCAGCGACGCCGCGUGCGGGAUGAAGGCCUUCGGGUUGUAAACCGCUUUCACCAGGGACGAAGCGGAAGUGACGGUACCGUGGGGAAGAAGCGCCGGCUAACUACGUGCCAGCAGCCGC
rnacentral:rRNA from 1 species